GGGGGUGAACGGUUUCGACUUCGUUCGUCGAUCAAGGGGAAGCGUGCCGAGGAAGGCGACGAUGAUCUCGUUAACCACCCGUCGCAAACCUAUAAGCGCCGACUCCAGUCAGCGCGAGUUCGCCCUCGCCGCCUGAGGCGAGUGCGACUCUGUCGGCCCGCGGGCGCUCCCGCCGCGGAUCCCGGCAUCAGCUAGGGAGCUCACCCGUCCGCCCGGUCGCGGGGUGGACGGGGACAGCAAACAGCGACUGGGAUCGUCACACCGGCUUGUUCGCGUGACCGGUGGAUCCGAGUAGAGGCAUUGCGGACUGCGCACGGAGAAGCCCUUGUGGAGCGACGGAGGACCCGGGUUCGAUUCCCGGCACCUCCACCC
rnacentral:tmRNA from 1 species